rnacentral:lncRNA from 10 species
AGGCCCCUGCAGCAGCAGCGGCGUGGUCAGAGCGAGCUUCGGAGAAGCAGUGGUGGGUUCCAUGUGAUGGUGGAGUAGGAGGCAGGUCUCCGCGGUUCAUCUGUGUUGCUCUAAAUGACACUGUUUCAUUAUUUUGAUGGCUGGAGAAUAUUUCCUAGUGUAUGUAUAUGAGAGUUUCUUGAUCUCUUUAUCUGUGGAUGAACAGGCUAGUCACCCUGCUGUGGAAUAGAAGGCCAGAAUUGAUCAGUCUCAUCUGAGAGUAACUUUGUACCCAUCACUGAUUCCUUCUGAGACUGCCUCCACUUCCCCAGCAGCCUCUGGUUUCUUCAUGUGGCUGCAGAUGGCAGGAUUUCCCAAAGGUUUCUGGCUGAAACAUAUUCCGUGGUGUAUCUGUACAGCAGUUUCCUCAUCCCUGCAGCUGUGUUUGAACAGGUCAUUUACCAUGCUGUCCUCCAGGUUCAACAGUAUGGCUCCAAAGGAUGAAAUUUCAUUCUGAUUUUCUGGCUGAAGACUAUUCUCUUUGUGUAUGUCCACCACAGUUACUUUAUCCCUUCAUCUGUGGAUGGGCAG